rnacentral:rRNA from 1 species
CAGUAGCCGCGGGAAUACGGAGGGUGCAAGCGUUAAUCGGAAUUACUGGGCGUAAAGCGCACGCAGGCGGUCUGUCAAGUCGGAUGUGAAAUCCCCGGGCUCAACCUGGGAACUGCAUUCGAAACUGGCAGGCUAGAGUCUUGUAGAGGGGGGUAGAAUUCCAGGUGUAGCGGUGAAAUGCGUAGAGAUCUGGAGGAAUACCGGUGGCGAAGGCGGCCCCCUGGACAAAGACUGACGCUCAGGUGCGAAAGCGUGGGGAGCAAACAGGAUUAGAUACCCCUGUAGUCCAUGUCUCUUAUAC